AGCGAACGCUGGCGGCAGGCCUAACACAUGCAAGUCGAACGGGCGUAUUCGGAUGUCUGUGGCAGACGGAUGAGUAACGCGGGGGAACGUACCCUUCGGUUCGGAAUAACUCAGGGAAACUUGAGCUAAUACCGGAUACGACCUUAUGGGGACAGGUUUACUGCGGGAGGAUCGGGCGGCGCUUGAUUCGUUUGUUGGUGGGGUAACGGCCUAUCAAGGGGGCGAUCAGUAGCUGGGCUGAGAGGAUGAUCAGACACUCUGGGGCUGAGACGCGGCCCGGAAUCCUACGGGAGGCAGCAGUGGGUGAUAUUGCACAACGGGGGCAAUGCUGAUCCAGCCAGGCCGGGUGAGUGAUGAAGGUCUGAGGGUUGUGAAGCACUUUUGUCCGGGGCGAUAAUGACGGUACCGGAAGAAUAAGCCCCGGCUAACUUCGUG
rnacentral:rRNA from 1 species